GCUUUGAUGGUGUAGUGGUCAGCACGCUUGACGCUUAUUCGAGAGGCCCGUGGUUCGAAUCUCGGUGAAGGCG
rnacentral:tRNA from 1 species